UAAGGUUAAGUUAUGAAGGGCGCAUGGUGAAUGCCUUGGUACUAGGAGCCGAUGAAGGACGGGACUAACACCGAUAUGCUUCGGGGAGCGGUAAGUACGCUUUGAUCCGGAGAUUUCCGAAUGGGGAAACCCAAUCAUCU
rnacentral:rRNA from 1 species